rnacentral:rRNA from 1 species
CCUACGGGUCGCAGCAGUGGGGAAUAUUGCACAAUGGGCGCAAGCCUGAUGCAGCCAUGCCGCGUGUAUGAAGAAGGCCUUCGGGUUGUAAAGUACUUUCAGCGGGGAGGAAGGCGAUAAGGUUGAUAACCUUGUCGAUUGACGUUACCCGCAGAAGAAGCACCGGCUAACUCCGUGCCAGCAGCCGCGGCGAUACGGAGGGUGCAAGCGUUAAUCGGAAUUACUGGGCGUAAAGCACACGCAGGCGGUCUGUCAAGUCGGAUGUGAAAUCCCCGGGCUCAACCUGGGAACUGCAUUCGAAACUGGCAGGCUGGAGUCUUGUAGAAGGGGGGUAGAAUUCCAGGUGUAGCGGUGAAAUGCGUAGAGAUCUGGAGGAAUACCGGUGGCGAAGGCGGCCCCCUGGACAAAGACUGACGCUCAGGUGCGAAAGCGUGGGGAGCAAACAGGAUUAGAUACCCUCGUAGUC